UAUCAUUAUUUGUGAUACCUAUUCUGGGAUCUUGUUUGCAUUUAACAUAUACACUUUCUUCUUUGCUUCAUUUUUGAACUUUGUUAAUGUCUUAUAAUUAAGAAUAGGGAAACAAUACAAGGUUUGCAUAAACCUAGUCUGAUUAUGUUCUAUGGAAACCAAAACCUGUCCCUAUCUGUCUCAAGUUUGAAAGAUAAAAAAUAAUAACCAAGUAAAUGACAAUACAAAUAACCAUCCUUACCUAGCUGCAAAAAUUGCAUGAUGCAAUAAGGAAGGGAGAACUCUGAUCCUUCCCUUGUUAUGCAAAAGAAUACUUACUAUACAUCAAACUAGAAAAGCGUCAAAGAAAGCAAUGAGUAUGUGUGAUGAAAAAUCCAAGAGUCUCCAAUUUAAUUUUGAUUUUUAGAAUGCCUAAACAAGUCCAUCUUGUUCAUUUAAUGGCAAUAAAAUUCACUUCUUCCAAAUCGAGGUGCCAAUUCGAAUGGCUGGGUUUUGGCCUGUUUGCACAUAAAAAUCAGAGUCAUUGGGCCUAUGAAUUAGUGCAGAAUCCAUUUGGAUUAGUUAUGAAAGACGUGUAUCAAUACCCUGUAUAGAACUUAAAAGUAACAACUAUAUUCAAACAGUUAAAAAUGAUUAUAAUCAAGUAGAUUAGAUGAGAAUCUCUAGUGAUGUUUAUUAUGUGUUCUUGCAUUUGUGUAUGUUUGUAUAUAUGUGAAUGGAAUUUUAUAUAUAAAAUAUAUUUUUAUAACUAAUAAUAUAUAGAAAUUUCUUCUGAUGGGGUCCUCUUUGUUAAAGUAGGCCCUAUAGCAGUCUAAUCCUCGAGUCUUGCCAGAGACUCCUUAGUCUCUUCAAUCAUAGAAAAUGGCUCCUAGUCUCCCCCUCUAUCCUCCCAUGCCAUUUCUACCAUUUGGCUCUCUCUCGACUCUUCUGCCUAAAAUUCUCCCCUUCCUCCGCUUGGAAUCUUAUUCGCUCUCCUAGUCCCUCUAUUCCUUGGCAUAAGAUUGUUUGGUUUAAAUCUCACAUCCCCCGACAUAGCUUCACAGUUUGGAGAGCUCUCUCCAACUGCCUUCCUACGUAGGCCUUUCUCAUCCAUCGCCAUAUCCCCGUCCCGCAGCUUGUUGCUUGUGCUGGAACCAACCAUUUAUUUUUCGAUUGCCACUUCACCUCCUUCAUCUGGAAGCGUGUCCUUGUCAAAUGCUGACCGGCCAAGAGAAGUCCCUUCACACUUGAAGAGAGAAUGGAUAUAGAUCAACAUGACCUUUGGCCCCUAGCUCUAUCGGUGAAGCGGAGUGCCUACAUAUUGCUGGGAUUGGCCUAACAUAGCACCUAAUCUAAUAAUACAAUAAUACAAUAGGUGUCAUGUCCUCAAGGGUGCAACUGAUUUUUUAUUAUUUUUUCUGGGAAGGGGGAGACCCAAUAAGUAUAAUAGGUGAAUUAUGAUACAAAACUUUAUUCAACAUAAACCAACCAUGGUUCAAUUUGCUUACUUUGCCAGUCAGGAUGAUUGUAUACUUCAAAAUUAUUUCCAUGAAUCUAUUUAAUCCCUUUCUGCUCAGACAUUUUUAUUGGAGGAAUUGAGCAAGGGGGACCACUAUUAAGUCAGAUCAUUCCAAAAUCAGGUGUUAUACAGUGGGUGAUGGAGCUCUGCUUAAGUGGUAAGUCUUAUGCAUUUAUCAAUUUGUACUUUGUUAUGCAAGUGAAGGCUCUUAUUCAUAUUCAGUUUACUGGUAAUAUUGACGACGUGGUUCUUUGGCAUUACCCAGUUGCAUCGGCUUAUACUCAGUUAUUUUAUAAUUUUUGUUGCAUUAGGAUUGGUCUCGUUUCAAAUCUAAGUACAACUUUCUUCUUUUUUAUAUGCCACCUUGAAUAUGUAUCUCAAUACAGGGGUUGUAAAAGGAAAACCAAAAAAGUAACGUAAAGGGUGGAAAAUGAAAAACAAGAAGUCAAUCUCAUGUGCAAUGGACAGUUAGCCGGUUUCUUUUUUUCUUUUUUCUCAUUUUUUUGGUUAAAUUCAUUUUCUAACUAUCUGUGGCUACUUGUUAAUAUUACAGGUAAAUAUGGAAAUAGAUGUUGAGGCAUGUAUAUCUGAGGCAGUGAUAGGAUGGAAAGAUUGCUGAUAAAAGAAAUUAUGAAGAAAGCGGAUCUUAAUGUUGUAAUUGUUCCUUCCUCAACCUCAUGAGAAAAAUUUAUAGUUUGGAGUUCCACUUGCUUGAUUGAAGUAAAGGUGCUGUCAUUGGAAGAAAGAUUUGAAAUCUGUUAAUUCUAUUAAAACACUAACCUGCUGGCGCAAGUACACUCCAUCGUGCAGGAGAAUCUUCAAUGCGGAAGCAACACGGUCUUUCAGCCCCAGAUGUGUCUAGGCGUAGACAAACACAAAUGGGUAGCUUUUUUUCUUCCCAUAUUUAAUUGGAAUGAUUUCUGUUUGGAGUUACAGAGCAGAUGGAUGAAGUGUUUUGCUACUCCGUGAGCUUGCUCGAAAGACAUACUUUCCACUAUAAUAAGUUGAGACUUGAUUUCCUACCA